GGGGGUGAACGGUCUCGACUUCGGUUGUUGAGGCAGGGGAAGCGGGCCGAGGAAGCCGGGAUGAGCUCGUUAACCAUCCCCGUGCAAAAAACUAAGCGCCAGUACAACUGCCGCUGAUUACGCCCUCGCUGCUUAAGCGAGCCUCGUGAUCCGUUAGCCCAGGACCGCUCCCGGCCUGGUGUCUAGCGUCGCUAGGGAGCUCAACUCAAACUGGGGGCACCGGACCUGUUUGAGGAAAACUUUCCGAUGCUGAGCCUGGCGGCUACUUGUUCGUGUGAUAGCCGGGGCCUAGGAGCCUAAUAACGGAAUACGCCCGUAGAAGCCCUGUUUUGGUACCGAAGGACGCGGGUUCGAUUCCCGCCACCUCCAC
rnacentral:tmRNA from 1 species